AUAUUGCACAAUGGGCGAAAGCCUGAUGCAGCCAGGCCGCGUGGGCGAUGACGGCUUUCGGGUCGUAAAGCUCUGUCCUACGGGACGAUAAUGACGGUACCUUAUGAGGAAGCGCCGGCGACCUAGGUGCCAGCAGCCGCGGUAAUACGUAGGGGGCAAGCGUUAUCCGGAUUCAUUGGGCGUAAAGGGUGCGUAGGCGGCCCUAUAGGUCAGAGGUCAAAGGCUACGGCUCAACCGUAGUAAGCCUUUGAAACUGUAGGGCUUGAGUGCAGGAGAGGAGAGUGGAAUUCCUAGUGUAGCGGUGAAAUGCGUAGAUAUUAGGAGGAACACCAGUGGCGAAGGCGACUCUCUGGACUGCAACUGACGCUGAGGCACGAAAGCGUGGGGAGCGAAC
rnacentral:rRNA from 1 species